GCAGACUUUAAGGGAGUCAUCUCACUUCUUGGUCUCCUUAUACUAGAGUCACAGUGAAACCAAUAAACAUCCAGACUUUGGUCACUUGGGGAUUCUGUUCCUACGCCGUCAUCAUCAUCCUCACGCCAAGAUUGAGAAGACAGACUCAACCAGAUAUGGAGGUAGAAGCAAACGAGCAUGCAAAAAUGUGCUGGUUCUCAAGGACUCUGUGGAGUAGCUCUGACUGCUUCCAACAGAGCAAGCCUGGUGGCCCAGCCUGAGUUUAAUAGAAGUAUCAUUCUUCCCUCGAAAGGACAGGCCUAUCACACAGUCUACCACCAGAAUGAUCGCCUCUAGAUAAGGUUCCCCUCAGAAAUUUUUUUUGGCACAAUUCCCUCCACCUCAACAUCCUUGAGCUUCAUCCCACACCAGUGCUGUCCACAGUUCAGUCCUUGCUCCAUCUCCUCUCCUUCUUGGACCUCCUGUCUCAGGCUCCCUGC